UCGGGUGUGUAUAAGAGUCAGGGAUUGGGGCUUGCAAUUGUUCCCCAUGAAUGAGGAAUUCCCAGUAAGCGCGAGUCAUAAGCUCGCGUUGAUUACGUCCCUGCCCUUUGUACACACCGCCCGUCGCUACUACCGAUUGAAUGAUUUAGUGAGGUCUUCGGACUGGUGCGCGGCAAUGUCUCGGCAUUGCCGAUGUUGCCGGGAAGAUGACCAAACUUGAUCAUUUAGAGGAAGUAAAA